UACGAACUGUGCAAACGUUAUUCGGAAUCACUGGGCUUAAAGGGUGCGUAGGCGGCUGUCUAAGCAGGGUGUGAAAGCCCCCCGGCUCAACCGGGGAAUUGCGUUCUGAACUGGACGGCUGGAGUGGGAUAGGGGUGUGUGGAACUUCCGGUGGAGCGGUGAAAUGUGUUGAUAUCGGAAGGAACGCCGGUGGCGAAAGCGACACACUGGGUCUCAACUGACGCUGAGGCACGAAAGCCAGGGGAGCGAACGGG
rnacentral:rRNA from 1 species